rnacentral:rRNA from 1 species
GAUCCUGGCUCAGGAUGAACGCUAGCUACAGGCUUAACACAUGCAAGUCGAGGGGAAACGACAUCGAAAGCUUGCUUUUGAUGGGCGUCGACCGGCGCACGGGUGAGUAACGCGUAUCCAACCUGCCCAUCACUUGGGAAUAACCUUGCGAAAGUAAGACUAAUGCCCAAUGACAUCCCACGAAGACAUCUGAAUGGGAUUAAAGAUUUAUCGGUGAUGGAUGGGGAUGCGU